ACAUCCAGAGAAUUUAGCAGAGAUGCUUUAGUGCCUUCGGGAACUCUGAGACAGGUGCUGCAUGGCUGUCGUCAGCUCGUGUUGUGAAAUGUUGGGUUAAGUCCCGCAACGAGCGCAACCCUUAUCCUUUGUUGCCAGCACGUAAUGGUGGGAAACUCAAAGGAGACUGCCGGUGAUAAACCGGAGGAAGGUGGGGAUGACGUCAAGUCAUCAUGGCCCUUACGAGUAGGGCUACACACGUGCUACAAUGGCGCAUACAAAGAGAAGCGACCUCGCGAGAGCAAGCGGACCUCAUAAAGUGCGUCGUAGUCCGGAUUGGAGUCUGCAACUCGACUCCAUGAAGUCGGAAUCGCUAGUAAUCGUAAAUCAGAAUGUUACGGUGAAUACGUUCCCGGGCCUUGUACACACCGCCCGUCACACCAUGGGAGUGGGUUGCAAAAGAAGUAGAUAGCUUAACCUUCGGGAGGGCGUUUACCACUUUGUGAUUCAUGACUGGGGUGAAGUCGUAACAAGGUAGGCGUAGUGCU
rnacentral:rRNA from 1 species